UACGUAGGUGGCAAGCGUUGUCCGGAUUUACUGGGCGUAAAGGGCGUGCAGGCGGUUUGUUAAGUGCAGGGUGAAAGCUCCCGGCUCAACUGGGAGAGGUCCUUGCAUACUGGCAAACUCGAGGGAGGCAGAGGAAAGUGGAAUUCCCGGUGUAGUGGUGAUAUGUGUAGAGAUCGGGAGGAACACCGGUGGCGAAGGCGGCCUUCUGGACGGUGACUGACGCUGAGGCGCGAAAGCGUGGGGAGCAAACGGG
rnacentral:rRNA from 1 species